AGAGUUUGAUCAUGGCUCAGAACGAACGCUGGCGGCAGGCCUAACACAUGCAAGUCGAGCGCCCAGCAAUGGGAGCGGCAGACGGGUGAGUAACACGUGGGAACCUUCCCUAUAGUACGGAAUAGCCCAGGGAAACUUGGAGUAAUACCGCAUACGCCCGAGAGGGGAAAGAUUUAUCGCUAUAGGAUGGGCCCGCGUAGGAUUAGCUAGUUGGUGAGGUAAUGGCUCACCAAGGCGACGAUCCUUAGCUGGUCUGAGAGGACGACCAGCCACACUGGGACUGAGACACGGCCCAGACUCCUACGGGAGGCAGCAGUGGGGAAUAUUGGACAAUGGGCGCAAGCCUGAUCCAGCCAUGCCGCGUGAGUGAUGAAGGCCUUAGGGUAGUAAAGCUCUUUGCCGGGGACGAUAAUAGACGGUACCCGGAGAAUAA
rnacentral:rRNA from 1 species